rnacentral:lncRNA from 1 species
GGGCAAGAAUCUGUUUGUAUUCAUACAACAAAUCUUAUCAGUGUCCCAAUAGAAUCUACACUCCUCAUCUCUACAGUGUAAGCCUCUCAGUAGGCAAGGCUAGGAGAAGAGAGAAAUCUUGUUCAUGAUCAGUAGCUCUGUACCACAGUUUUACAAAAACCCCAGUUACUAGACGAGCCUUUCUUCCUCUUGCCAUUGCUGAUCAUCAUGUAAAAUCUUCUCAAGCUCGCUUGGCGGACAAGGAAUGGUGAUUGCACCUUCAUGGUCAAAACCAUACUCCUCAGCUGCUUGCUCCAAUAGCUUCAAGAAAGUUGGGUGCGUCAAGUAACUCAAUGCAACCACAAAUCUCUUUGGUUCAUCUCCAUCCACAGCUAUCACAGCAAAGUGACCCUCCUUCACAUCUUCGGACACAUUUUUUGUGUCAUCGCAGUUGGAAACUGAUGAUUUUGACCUACCGCACAAUAGACUUUUUUUAAGCUUUUCGACUACAAUUUUGAGCUUGACAAUGCUCUUCUUCUUCUUGCAAGUAAUACUAGUAGUUCUAGACUUGGCCAUGAAUAUUGUGCUUUAUUUAGUUUAUUUUCUUUUGAUC